GAUAUUGGACAAUGGGGGCAACCCUGAUCCAGCCAUGCCGCGUGCGUGAAGAAGGUCUUCGGAUUGUAAAGCACCUUAAGUUGGGAGGAAGGGUGUUAGGUUAAUACCCUGAAGUUUUGACGUUACUAACAGAAUAAGCGCAGGCUACCUCUGUGCAACGAGCCGCGGUAAUACUAGGGGUGCAAGCGUUAAUUGGAAUUACUGGGGGUAAAGGCGGCAUAGGGGGUUCGUUAAGUGGGAAUUGAAAGCCCCGGGCUUAAACUGGGAAUUGCUUAAAAAACUGACGAGCUAUAGUACGGUAGAGAGUAGUGGAAAUUCCUGUGUAGCGGUGAAAUGCGUAGAUAUAGGAAGGAACAUCAGUGGCGAAGGCGACUACCUGGACUGAUACUGACACAGGGGUGCGAAAGCGUGGGGAGCAAACAGG
rnacentral:rRNA from 1 species